AGGUAGCAUAAUCAUUUGUUAUCUAAAUGAUAACUAGUAUGAAUGGUCUGACGAGAAAAUAACUUUCUAAAAAGAAGAGAUAAAAAUUUAUUUUAAAGUAAAAAAGCUUUAUAGCCUUAGAAAGACGAGAAGACCCUAGAACCUGUUCUAUUCCUAUAGUUUGUUGGGGUGACAUUAUUCAAAACAAAUAACUAUUAAAACUUAUUAAUUGACUCUAUCUAUCUUUAUUAAAAAAAAAAAAGGUACUCUAGGGAUAACAGCAUAAUCUUCUUCUAGAGCCCUAAUCGACAAGAAAGAUUUUGACCUCGAUGUUGAAUUGAUAUUUCUUUCUAAAGCAGAAU
rnacentral:rRNA from 1 species